AUGCCGCUGCAGCCGAGGCACUGCCUUUGCCAGGCGCUGGUCGACCGCACCGCAGCCCGACGCUGGCCCGACCCCACCGCUGCCCCGCCGUCGUCAUCGGUCAACGCUGGAUCCAUAGCCGCGCCAAGGCCUGAGCCGUCCGCAGUCGCGCCUUGCCCGUCGUCCGCGGCGCCAUCUCCCUCCGCACUCCGCAGCACCGCCGCCGCCAGGCCUGGGAGGUUUGCUGCCGCCGCCGCCUCCUCUAGGGUUGGGGAGAAAGGGGAAGAGAAGAGCUCUGUUUUUCUAUUUUCUCAUUCUUAUGGACAAGGGCAAUUUCGUCCAACUAUAAAAAACUGGCAUCAGUUAAAAUCGAUUUUAACAGUGUAG
rnacentral:rRNA from 1 species